UAAUGUGCUGAAUUCUACUCUUUCUUUGUGCCCUGGUAGACUGGAUGACUCUUCUCUAAGAACAUUGUUUUAUGAAGCGAUGGCUAUUGUUAAUAGUCGACCAUUAACUGUGGAUGGAAUAAACGACCCAAAAUCACUAGAACCUUUAACUCCUAAUCAUCUUGUUUUACUGAAAUCCGAGACUGCUCUUCCUCCCCCAGGGAAGUUUCUAAAGGAAGACGUGUAUGCUACAAAAAGGUGGCGCAGGGUUCAGUACUUGAUUGAACAGUUUUGGAGUCGUUGGAAAAGGGAAUAUCUCCUGAAUAUAUCCACAAGACAGAAGUGGCACGUACCUCGACGUAAUCUUAAAGUAAAUGACAUUGUAAUCAUUAAAGAUGACAUGCUUCCUAGAAACAAAUGGCAGUUAGGUAGGGUUGUUGAGGUUUUUCCAGGUAACGAUGGCCUUGUUAGACGCGUUAAAGUUCAAACAGGAGAACAAAAACAGAAAACGGGGUUGGGGCACCAUUCUUCACAUUCAGUUAUUGAGCGACCAAUCCAAAAAUUGGUUGUAAUAGUUGAGAGUGAUUAGUUGCAACUUUCUUGCAUCAGACAAAUAAUGUUAAUUUUGUAUGUGGAUUUAUUUUGUGAGUUAAAUUUGAAGUUAAAAUCAUGUAUGAUAUUUGUUUUGUUUGUUUGAUUCAUACCAUGAUUUGGUGGGAGUGUAACUGCCCAUGAUUUAAUGUACUCGCUUUGCUUGCCCUAAUUGGAGUCACCACAGGAGGGCGCUCUAGACUAAUAGGAUUUAAGUGAGACAAAGCAGAGUAAGAGCAAUUCACGUUUGUUCAUGAGCUAACAGGUACAGCUCGGAAGAAUGCCUUGAGCUUUUAGUGUCCCUUCGGCAAGCAGAGCGAGUUUUACGGUGCUUUGGUGCUUUUGGUGCCUUUGGUCUUUUGAUGCUUCUGUGUAUACAACAAAGAACUGAGACGAUGAUUUAUGUGAUGAGCUUUAUUGCAUCCAAGUAAACCUUUUUAAAUGCACCCGUCAAAAA